CCUGAAGCCACCCAGUGAGGCAGCAGGAUGUGGAGCUAUUCUCGAGCACCGAUGAGCACUGAGUGCUGUGCUCCCUGAGCCCCUCUCCCUGCAGCCACAGCAAAUCGCUAUAACCCACCUGCCAGGAAAAGGCAUCAUGCAGAUGGAAUGUCUUCCAGCUCAGAAGAGAAACUCAUUAUGUUUUCACUUCAUGGCAUGGAGGUAAGGGUGACUGCAUGUGAAACCGUCUGGGAUACCACCAAGUGAGAAGGAACUCAGGACCCACUUCCAAGCUGGAAGAAAAAUGCAAAGAAAAGCAGAAGGCUAUCUUUAGCAUGCCAAGUACUUUAGAUGAAAAGAUGAGAUCAUCCGAAAGGUAAAGGAGACUUUCCUCUAGAAUAUAUGUCUCUGAUGUCAUGAAGUAGCUGGUGUGAAAACUU
rnacentral:lncRNA from 1 species